rfam:Pseudonocardia thermophila strain DSM 43832 genome assembly, contig: Ga0131094_113
ACCCGACGUGAUGGCGGUGCCUCGACCCGGCAGCCCUGGCGCACCUUCCCCGGUGCCAGGUCUGCCGGGUGGGGGCAUCGCCGCACCUGCCGGGUCUC